CGCAAGGAUGCUGGCGUAAUGGUCAUCAGUGACCCGUCUUGAAACACGGACCAAGGAGUCGUCUUCGUAUGCGAGUGUUCGGGUGUCAAACCCCUACGCGAAAUGAAAGUGAACGCAGGUGAGAGCUUCGGCGCAUCAUCGACCGAUCCUGAUGUUAUCGGAUGGAUUUGAGUAAGAGCAUACGGGGCCGGACCCGAAAGAAGGUGAACUAUGCCUGUGUAGGGUGAAGCCAGAGGAAACUCUGGUGGAGGCUCGCAGCGGUUCUGACGUGCAAAUCGAUCGUCAAACAUGGGCAUGGGGGCGAAAGACUAAUCGAACCUUCUAGUAGCUGGUUUCCGCCGAAGUUUCCCUCAGGAUAGCAGUGUUGAACUCAGUUUUAUGAGGUAAAGCGAAUGAUUAGGGACUCGGGGGCGCUAUUUAGCCUUCAUCCAUUCUCAAACUUUAAAUAUGUAAGAAGCCCUUGUUGCUUAAUUGAACGUGGGCAUUCGAAUGAAUCAACACUAGUGGGCCAUUUUUGGUAAGCAGAACUGGCGAUGCGGGAUGAACCGAACGCGAGGUUAAGGUGCCAGAGUAGACGCUCAUCAGACACCACAAAAGGUGUUAGUACAUCUUGACAGCAGGACGGUGGCCAUGGAAGUCGGAAUCCGCUAAGGACUGUGUAACAACUCACCUGCCGAAUGUACUAGCCCUGAAAAUGGAUGGCGCUCAAGCGUCUCACCCAUACCUCGCCCUCAGGGUAGAAACGAUGCCCUGAGGAGUAGGCGGACGUGGAGGUCAGUGACGAAGCCUAGGGCGG
rnacentral:rRNA from 1 species